rnacentral:rRNA from 1 species
ACACAGAGGGUGCGAGCGUUAAUCGGAAUUACUGGGCGUAAAGCGCGCGUAGGCGGCUUAUUAAGUCAGAUGUGAAAUCCCCGGGCUCAACCUGGGAACUGCAUCUGAUACUGGUAAGCUAGAGUUUUGGAGAGGGAAGUAGAAUUUCAGGUGUAGCGGUGAAAUGCAUAGAGAUCUGAAGGAAUACCAGUGGCGAAGGCGACUUCCUGGCCAAAAACUGACGCUGAGGUGCGAAAGCGUGGGUAGCAAACGGGAUUAGAAACCCUAGUAGUCC